CCUACGGGUGGCAGCAGUAGGGGAUAUUGCACAAUGGGGGGAACCCUGAUGCAGCGACGCCGCGUGGGUGAAGGAGCGUUUCGGCGCGUAAAGCCCUAUCGGCAGGGACGAAGAUUACCGUUACUGGCCAAGAAACCCCCGCUAACUACGUGCCAGCAGCCGCCGUAAUACGUAGGGGGGAAGCGUUUUCCGGAUGUCCUGGGUGUAAAGGGGGCGCAGGUGGCAAUGCAAGCCAGGAGUGAAAGUCAGGGGCUCAACCCCGGUACUGCACUUGGCACUGGAUGGCUGGAGUGCCGGAGAGGCAGGCGGAAUUCCUAGUGUAGCGGUGAAAUGCGUAGAUAUCAGGAGGAACACCGGUGGCGAAGGCGGUCUGCUGGGCUGUGACUGACGUUGAGGACCGAAGGCGGGGGGAGCAAACAGGAUUAGAUACCCCUGUAGUC
rnacentral:rRNA from 1 species